CCUACGGGAGGCAGCAGUAGGGAAUAUUGCUCAAUGGGGGAAACCCUGAAGCAGCAACGCCGCGUGGAGGAUGAAGGUUUUAGGAUUGUUAACUCCUUUUGUUAGAGAAGAUUAUGACGGUAUCUAACGAAUAAGCCCCGGCUAACUCCGUGCCAGCAGCCGCGGUAAUAUGGAGGGUGCAAGCGUUACUCGGAAUCACUGGGCGUAAAGAGUGCGUAGGCGGGGUAAUAAGUCAGAUGUGAAAUGCUGUAGCUUAACUAGAGAACUGCAUUGGAAACUGUUACUCUGGAGUGUGGGGAGGGUAGGUGGAAUUCUUGGUGUAGGGGUAAAAUCCGUAGAGAUCAAGAAGAAUACUCAUUGCGAAGGCGACCUGCUGGAACAGUACUGACGCUGAUGCACGAAAGCGUGGGGAACGAACAGGAUUAGAUACCCGAGUAGUC
rnacentral:rRNA from 1 species